rnacentral:rRNA from 1 species
GGAAAUCUCACCAGGCCCGGACACUGGAAGGAUUGACAGAUUGAUAGCUCUUUCUUGAUUCGGUGGGUGGUGGUGCAUGGCCGUUCUUAGUAGGUUGAGUGUUUUGUCUUGUUAAUUCCGAUAACGAACGAGACCUUAACCUGCUAAAUAGUGACGCGGUUCAUCGAACCGUGGGCCACUUCUUAGAGGGACUAUCGGAUUCAAACCGAUGGAAGUGUGAGGCAAUAA